UGCGUAGGCGGAUUAAUAAGUCAGUGGUGAAAACCUGCAGCUUAACUGUAGAACUGCCAUUGAUACUGUUAGUCUUGAGUACGGUCAAGGUAGGCGGAAUGUGUAAUGUAGCGGUGAAAUGCUUAGAUAUUACACAGAACACCGAUUGCGAAGGCAGCUUACUGGAUCAUUACUGACGCUGAGGCACGAAAGCGUGGGGAGCGAACAGGAUUAGAUACCCUGGUAGUCC
rnacentral:rRNA from 1 species